GUGUUUGCUUCAGCAGCACACAUACUAAAAAUGAAAUAUUUCAGGGAAGGUUAGCAUGGCCUCUAUACAAGCAUGACUUGCACAUUUUGUAGUAGUCCAUGGUAAUU
ensembl:snRNA U6 U6 spliceosomal RNA